AUUGAACGCUGGCGGCAGGCCUAACACAUGCAGUUGAACGAGUGGCGGACGGGUGAGUAAUGUCUGGGAAACUGCCCGAAGGAGGGGGGUAAAUACUGGAAACGGUAGGUAAUACCGCCUUCCAUCGGAUGUGCCCCGAUGGGAUUAGCCAGUAGGUGGGGUAACGGCUCACCUAGGCGACGAUCCCUAGCUGGUCUGAGAGGAUUACCAGGCACACUGGAACUUAGACACGGUCCAGACUCCUACGGGAGGCAGCAGUGGGGAAUAUUGCACAAUGGGCGCAAGCCUGAUGCAGCCAUGCCGCGUGUAUGAAGAAGGCCUUCGGGUUGUAAAGUACUUUCAGCGAGGAGGCGUUACUCGCAGAAGAAGCACCGGCUAACUCCGUGCCAGCAGCCGCGGUAAUUC
rnacentral:rRNA from 1 species